CCGGGACCUCUGUGGGUGAUCGUGGAAGUGAGAGAGGAGAGUCUAAGGAGGUUCUGCUCAUGGCAGAUGACCAGAAUGCAAUAAACCAAGCCAAACCAAGCCCUGCCAAUUUCCUGUCUGACCAAAGCAAGUCAUGUGGCUAAGCCCAACAUCAGUGGGGCAGGGAAGUACACACCACCCACGUGGAACGGAGAGGGAAAUGAACACUGGCUGAACAACAGUCCACACUGUCACAGGGCACAGGAGAAACG
rnacentral:lncRNA from 1 species